rnacentral:rRNA from 1 species
GUCGACGAGCGAGAGGGAGCUUGCUUUCUCGAGCGAGUGGCGAACGGGUGAGUAACGCGUGAGGAACCUGCCUCAAAGAGGGGGACAACAGUUGGAAACGACUGCUAAUACCGCAUAAGCCCACGGUGCCGCAUGGCACAGAGGGAAAAGGAGCAAUCCGCUUUGAGAUGGCCUCGCGUCCGAUUAGCUAGUUGGUGAGGUAAUGGCCCACCAAGGCGACGAUCGGUAGCCGGACUGAGAGGUUGAACGGCCACAUUGGGACUGAGACACGGCCCAGACUCCUACGGGAGGCAGCAGUGGGGAAUAUUGCACAAUGGGGGAAACCCUGAUGCGGCGACGCCGCGUGGAGGAAGAAGGUCUUCGGAUUGUAAACUCCUGUUGUUGGGGAAGAUAAUGACGGUACCCAACAAGGAAGUGACGGCUAACUACGUGCCAGCAGCCGCGGUAAAACGUAGGUCACAAGCGUUGUCCGGAAUUACUGGGUGUAAAGGGAGCGCAGGCGGGAAGACAAGUUGGAAGUGAAAUCUAUGGGCUCAACCCAUAAACUGCUUUCAAAACUGUUUUUCUUGAGUAGUGCAGAGGUAGGCGGAAUUCCCGGUGUAGCGGUGGAAUGCGUAGAUAUCGGGAGGAACACCAGUGGCGAAGGCGGCCUACUGGGCACCAACUGACGCUGAGGCUCGAAAGUGUGGGUAGCAAACAGGAUUAGAUACCCUGGUAG